AUCUGCACGCCCGAAGGCUGGGUCUGACGGGGCGCGAAAGAGAACCAUACCGUCCACUUCAUCAGGUCUCCAUUAGCGGACAAAUAACCAGAACCUCAAACCCAUUACCUCGCUCAUGGGGCACCACAAGUGAGGACUCUAGAGGUUCUGCCCUGCCCUGCCCUGCCCUGCCCUGCCCUGCCCUGACCUGCCCUGUCUAUCUGUGUGAGGAUCUUCUGCAGUGAGCCAAGGUGUAGCAAGAGACCGUGAGGGCAGACUGGAGUGGUGGGAGUAAAGGGCCUGGAUUCAGACUAGCACAGAACUGCACUCAGGCCGCCUGUUUUCUGCACAGAUGGAGAUCCAGACAGCUACCUGGUGCACCUGAAACCUCUCAGGGUCAGCCUGCUUUUGUUUGAUUUUACAGGAAUCAUUACGCAAACAGCGAAACCUUUAUUGCAAUCCAAUAAGAAUGCUGAUAGAUCCCCAGCCCACGGAUCUUACACUGGGAGUGUGUUUAUCGUUAAUGCGGUGAAAAGGAGUGCUCCAAAGUGUUUUGGAUAUCAGAUUAAAUAAGUUUAAGGAGAUUAAAGGAGGUUGAAGGUGCAAGUGGAACAUUAUUAACAAUUACAAGCAGCCAUGAGACAGUCGGGUUGAAGGUGGCGAGGCAGCACGUCUGGGGAGAAAAAAUUAGAGAAUGUCAAUGUGAGGUGUAGGUGUAGAUUUAUGAAGGUAAAGUUUGAGGCAAGUAGACACUGAACGGAGUUAGAUGUUCUACCUGGGCUAGUUGUUAUCCGUGUUGUCAGUUCUGCAUCUGUAUCUGAGAUUUUAUAGGGCUCAAACUACACAUGAUUGUGUUUCAUGGGUUUGAUGAUCACAACUUCGUUAUUCAGAUGUCAGAUGUCAGAUGUCAGAUGUUAGUGCAUGGUUUAGAUGUGUCAUGACUGAUAGCAAGUCACUGUUAUUCAGACCACAUGGAUUAGCAGUAUAACAAGCACUCUCCUAAAUGCAUUUGAUUGU
rnacentral:lncRNA from 1 species